rnacentral:lncRNA from 1 species
GAGAAAGUUUAUCUUUAUCAUGCACAGAGUGUCUCAGGCGAGUGACGAGAUCAAAGCCAGCCAUAGGAGUUCGCCACCAGGCUUCCCUCGAGGCAACCACUCCUGUUAAAGGAGGAGGAGGAGGUCGCUGGCGGAGUGACAUAAUGCGGUGAUCCUGUGUGAAAGCUGAAGUCAAGACUUUUAUCAACGCCCCCUGGGAUUCUCGCUCUGAUCUCCAAACACAGAGACUCCAAUGACCAAUCCCCAGAUGUCAGUAACUAAACCCCAGAGCUCACUGCGCCUAUACUCUUCACAGGUAGAUGCUAAAUGCUCAAAAGUGUCAUUGAUAGACUGACUAGAGAAAAAGGUGCACUCUGUACCUUUUUGCUUAUGUUUUAGCGUUUUUUCUUCAUUCUACUGGUUCUGGAUUUUAUACUAACACCUGUUGGUGUUAAUGCUUGCAAUCUGUUAAUUAACUGCUGCCACUUUACACUAAAUCUGCAUAUUUUACUUUAGUGUUUUCCUUUUCAUCAAAAUUUUACUCUAUAUACUGCAUAUCCACAAAAUUUAUAUUUUUUAAUUUAAUCCCAAAUAAUUUGCGCAUUGUUGGUGGUAAGCGCUACAGAUGUAAUUAGCUAAACAUGACAUAUUUGAGAUGUUAAACUACAUACGGUAACAUCCUGUAAAUUACUUGAUUAUUUUCAAAUCAAAUUUCACGCCUUUGAAUUGAAAAUACAUAAUCUAUGUGAUUAGUGAAAUGUAAUUGUGAAUUAUCAGUGAAGAG